CGUGGAGACAGGUGGUGCAUGGCUGUCGUCAGCUCGUGUCGUGAGAUGUUGGGUUAAGUCCCGCAACGAGCGCAACCCUCACCCCUAGUUGCCACCGGGUAAAGCCGAGCACUCGAGGGGAACUGCCAGCGUCAAGCUGGAGGAAGGCGGGGAUGACGUCAAGUCAUCAUGCCCCUUACGCCCUGGGCUACACACGUGCUACAAUGGCCAGUACAAAGGGACGCGAGACCGCGAGGUGGAGCUAAUCCCAAAAAACUGGCCUAAGUUCAGAUCGCAGUCUGCAACUCGACUGCAUGAAGGAGGAAUCGCUAGUAAUCGCGUAUCAGCACGACGCGGUGAAUACGUUCCCGGGCCUUGUACACACCGCCCGUCACACCACGAAAGCCUGCUGUACUCGAAGUCGCUGAG
rnacentral:rRNA from 1 species